CGAAAAGCGAUUUCAAGUGGCGUAGUUCACCUUAUAAAUAGUUCUGCGAAACAGUUGACGGCCUCGUUGUUCCUGGGCCGUGCGGUGGCGGGCGAGGUGCAGAGACCAGAUGAACCAGCUUGAUAACAGUGGAGGUGACCAGCAAGAUGACAGUUGGUCUUCAAAUCCCUCUACAUGAUGGCUUCAUCCAUCCAGGCUAAAGAAGGUGCUGGAUGUCCUGUCCUGUAGAAGAUGUUCAUCUGCAGGAUGCUGGCUGCUGCAAAGUAAUGCAUCUGCACGUGGCCUGAAGGUUGACGAUGUAACCUGAAGGUCUUCGACAUGGCAUCUCUAUGAGAAUGAGACUGGAGUUCAGCGAUGGCACUGAUUUUAAAUCGGCCAGGUGCCAUCAAACCGGAGCUGCCAGCAACCUUGAUCGAGUAGCAGUUUGUGAUGGUCCAAAGCAAGGUUCCUGGAGAUGGACAAGACAGUCCCAGGCAGCCCUGGAGCCUGGACCACUGCACCCGCAUUAAUGUAUGCAUUAGGUCAUGUGUUAGUAUGUAAAGGAAUUAGCUCCAUUCCUGCCUGCACAUGGCCUGAGACCUCACCUCGUUCAGUGUUUUGUGUAUCAUUUCACUUUUUUUUUUUUUUUUUUUUUUUUACAGUUAUAUUCAUGUCCAAACAGAAUAUAUAAACUAUUUGAAACAAUGCAAACAUUAAAAUUUGCAAAACAA